GACAGGCAGGCAGUGUGUGUGUAUGUGUGUGUACCUUAUUCUGAACAGGAGCUUCUCAUUACUGAACUCGUCCACUUUGAAGAUGUGAUUAGGCGGAUACCACAUGCGGUCACUCUCUCUCAUCAGGGCGAACAGACUCAGGUACAUGGGACUGACACCUGUGGGUGGAGCCAGAGAAGAAGAUAGUAGAACCGUUGCUGUGACUGAAGAACACCUGUACAGAUGAUUAUACACCAGAACAAGAACCCUGGCUUCUUCAGUCUGAAGGAUCUACAAAGCUUUUGUAGCAUUAUUAUCAUCCCAGAUUUUUAACAGGUGAGUAGAUGACAUCAUUUUAUUCUACAGAGUAUAUUUAUUUAUUUAUUGUAUAUUAGUUUUGAAUAUGAUUAAUUUAAGUUGAUUAAAAAUGAGAGAAAUAAAACAGCGCCCACGUUACCCACUUCACCGUGUUCCGACUCUGAGAGGAGCGAUAGUGCUGUUUAGAAAUGAUAAAAUCACUCAGAUUCACCUCUUGGAAAU